GAUGAACGCUGGCGGCGCGCCUAAUACAUGCAAGUCGAGCGAACGGACGAGAAGCUUGCUUCUCUGAUGUUAGCGGCGGACGGGUGAGUAACACGUGGAUAACCUACCUAUAAGACUGGGAUAACUUCGGGAAACCGUAGCUAAUACCGGAUAAUAUUUUGAACCGCAUGGUUCAAAAGUGAAAGACGGUCUUGCUGUCACUUAUAGAUGGAUCCGCGCUGCAUUAGCUAGUUGGUAAGGUAACGGCUUACCAAGGCGACGAUGCAUAGCCGACCUGAGAGGGUGAUCGGCCACACUGGAACUGAGACACGGUCCAGACUCCUACGGGAGGCAGCAGUAGGGAAUCUUCCGCAAUGGGCGAAAGCCUGACGGAGCAACGCCGCGUGAGUGAUGAAGGUCUUCGGAUCGUAAAACUCUGUUAUUAGGGAAGAACAUAUGUGUAAGUAACUGUGCACAUCUUGACGGUACCUAAUCAGAAAGCCACGGCUAACUACGUG
rnacentral:rRNA from 1 species